rnacentral:misc_RNA from 1 species
AACGCACAUUGCGCCCUUUGGUAUUCCGAAGGGCAUGCCUGUUCGAGCGUCAUUAUCACCCCUCAAGCUUGGGCUUGUCGUUGAACCCCCAGGUCCGUUAGACGACCGGUUCGAAAGAUAGUGACGGUUGCCUAUAUGACCCUCGGUGCAAUGAGCUCUCACCAGCACGCGCCGUCCGCGGUCUGAUAGCCCGGUCUCUCCUUUUAUUUUUUACAAGGUUGACCUCGGAUCAGGUAGGAAUACCCGCUGAACUUAA